AAUACCAUCACGUGCGCCUGCACAAGCACAUAUGUGGAAUAGUUAAAAAAGCUAAAAAUGUUGCAGGCAAGUCCAUAAUCAAGCAACGAGAGUUUGUUCUGGAGUACCCUUAGUUGAUAAUGACCAGGUAGGCUUUGGUUCCUCUUUCGAGUAGGACUUGGGCAAAAUACAAUAUACACAUCUUCAUCCUUUAAAAACGUCAUCUAAGUUGUAAGCAUUCAUCAUGUAAAAUGUUAUGGAGCCCCACGCAUGUGCAAAUGCACACAAAAGAAGAAGAAUGUGGCCACCUACAGUAACUAAGUUGAACAUUUUCCCAGUUACAAAUGAAAACAGCAUGUGUAGACUCAUAUGGAAGUCCUGAGACAGUUAUCACAUGGAUUAGAACCAUAUUUGCAGUCUUUUCGGUCAAAAGACUCUCCAAAGUGUUCAAGCAAGGCUUGUCUUCGACAUUCAGCCUUAAGUUCACAGUAGUGUUUCAUCUUCUGAGCUUGAGCCAUUGCUGUCUUAAAGUUUUCCCCUUUACAUCCUUGUCCACUCCUUAACAUGCAUACAACUCGACUGAAGUCCUUCUUCUGGUAUAGAGCAAUGCACACAGCAGGGAGAUUAUCUCUUCCAGCCCUUCCAGAUUCUUGAUAGUAGCUUUCAAUUGAUUUGGACAUUGUAUUGUGGAUAACAAAGCGAACAUCUGGUUUAUCAAUUCCCAUCCCGAAAGCAAUGGUAGCACAUACAAUGUGUGCUUCACCCAUACGCCACUUCCUCUGAACUUCAACUCUUUGGCGAGCUGCCAGACCAGCAUGAUAAUAUACCGUCUUAAUCUUACAUUUUUCAUUCAAAAAAUUUGAAACCUCAACACAUUCAUUUUUUGAAAGGCAGUAUACUAUUCCACAUUGAUUCUUGAAACGAUCUUUAAGAAGUUGUCCAAGUUGCUUUAAUGAUUCCUUGGUCUUUCCAAUCACUUCAUACUUUAAAUUAGGUCUAUCAAAGCUUGUCUCAAGUAUGAGAGCAUUUGGAAUUCUUAAAGCUUUUAAAAUGUCCUCACGAACUGACUGGGUUGCCGUGGCUGUCAAAGCCACCAGUGGAACAUCUGGAAAUUUCUGCUUAAGACACCCCAAUCCCCUAUAAUCUGGACGGAAAUCAUGUCCCCACUGGCUCACACAGUGUGCUUCAUCAACAACAAAACCAGCUAGUUGUCCCUUUCGAUGCAGGCAUAUUAGUAUUUCAAGAAAUGCAAAGUUUCCAACAAUCCUUUCAGGAGUCACGUAUAAGAGCUUACAUGAUGGUUUGUCUUUCCUUAGCUCUUGAAGGACAGCUGCAGCUUGGGAAGCAGUUUGUUGGGAAUUCAAAAAAGUUGCUGGUAUUCCAAAUUUGAGGUUCAGUGUAAUAAUCUGAUCCUGAAUGAGGGAAAGAAGGGGAGACACAACCACUGUAACACCGGGCUUUAGAGUUGCUGGAAGCUGGUAACAUAGGCUUUUACCACCUCCAGUAGGCAUGAGAACAAAACAAUCUUGCUUUGCCACAGAUGCUUUACAAGCCUGAUGUUGCAGUGGACGAAAAUUCUUGUUGCCAAAUAUAACAACAUUUGCUAGUUCAAAGUCAUCCAAAGCCCGCAAUUCUUCAUAACAGAGAAUCCGAGGUCCAUCUUUUUGUGUGUGUGGGUGUUGCUUCUUAUUGCAAAUUGAUGUAACUGAACCUUGAGUGACACUGCUCUUACAAUCCAUAGACAUCGACAAAUGCUUGCUCGAGGCGGUAGACGCAGAAUCCUUUCCCUUUGCGAUACAAAAGUUUGGAUCUUCACCAUCACUAGAGGAAUCCAACUCCAUCCAACUCUGUUGCUUUUUAGUUUCAGGAGAAUGGUCUAUAACAUUAAUAUAUCCUCUUGCAUUGUUAUUAUUAUCAGCCUCCAAAUUGUUAGUAUCAUUUUUCUCAAAUAUAUUACUUAAAGCUCCACAAGCUUCUGAUUCUAUGACUUGCAAAUCAUCAUCCCAAUCCUCACUAUCUUGCAUAGAUUCAGCUAGUGCCGCAAGAAAGUCAUCACCACAGCACUCCACAGUGACAAAAUCUUGGCCAUCAUCGCCGUAGAGAGAAAUCAACCGAUCUAAGCAUUUCUCGGCCGAUUGUUCGUCGAAGCCGCAUUCGAGAGCCAAGCUUAGAAAUCGAGCUUUCUCCAAUUGGAGAUCGUGAACACCCAUUUCUUCAGCUGAUUUGGCUUGAUUCAGCUAACGAUGCAAA
rnacentral:misc_RNA from 1 species